rnacentral:rRNA from 1 species
ACGGCUCAGUAACACGUGGACAACCUACCCUCAGCACGGGGAUAAACCCGGGAAACUGGGUAUAAUACCCGAUAGUUCUGGAGAGCUGGAAUGCUAUCAGGACGAAAGCUCCGGCGACUGAGGAUGGGUCUGCGGCCUAUCAGGUAGUAGUGGGUGUAAUGUACCUACUAGCCUACGACGGGUACGGGUCGUGAGAGCGAGAGCCCGGAGAUGGAUUCUGAGACACGAAUCCAGGCCCUACGGGGUGCAGCAGGCGCGAAAACUUUACAAUGCUGGCAACAGCGAUAAGGGGACCUCGAGUGCCAGGAUACAAUCUUGGCUGUCGUAAUGCCUAAAAAGCAUUGCAUAGCAAGGGCCGGGCAAGACCGGUGCCAGCCGCCGCGGUAACACCGGCGGCUCGAGUGGUAACCGCUAUUAUUGGGUCUAAAGGGUCUGUAGCCGGCCGGAUAAGUCUUUUGGGAAAUCUGGCAGCUCAACUGUCAGGCUUUCAGAAGAUACUGUUCGGCUCGAGGCCGGGAGAGGUGAGAGGUACUUCAGGGGUAGGGGUGAAAUCUUGUAAUCCUUGAAGGACCACCAGUGGCGAAGGCGUCUCACCAGAACGGUCCUGACGGCAAGGGACGAAAGCUAGGGGCACGAACCGGAUUAGAUACCCGGGUAGUCCUAGCCGUAAACGAUACUCGCUAGGUGUCAGCCACGGUGCGACCGUGGUUGGUGCCGUAGGGAAGCCGUGAAGCGAGCCACCUGGGAAGUACGGCCGCAAGGCUGAAACUUAAAGGAAUUGGCGGGGGAGCAC